rnacentral:sRNA from 1 species
AAGGAUCAUUACAGUAUUCUUCUAAGCUGGAGUUGUGGACUGGUUAGUUGCUUUGCCUGCGCUGCUGAAAUAUUGCGUGCGCGGUGAGAGACUGAUUUGGUCGCAGUUCUAUUCAAGGCUUAGAAAUCUCCUUACACACUUUGUUUUCUUAUUAGAGACAAAUUUGCUUUGGUCAGUGGUUGUGUAAAAGCGACAUGUCUGGCCAGAGGUUUUAACAAAACCCUUUUUCGUUUUCCCUUGGGAAGAUUGAAAACUUGAUAUUUAUAAUUUGUCAGAUUUAAGGAGUUGCGCAGCAGCUUUUCUAAAAUUUAAAACUUUCAACAACGGAUCUCUUGGUUCUCGCAUCGAUGAAGAACGCAGCGAAAUGCGAUAAGUAAUGUGAAUUGCAGAUUUUCGUGAAUCAUUGAAUCUUUGAACGCACAUUGCGCCCUCUGGUAUUCCAGAGGGCAUGCCUGUUUGAGCGUCAUUUCCUUCUCAAACCCUAGGGUUUGGUGAUGGGCAAUACUCUUGUACGAGAGUUUGCUUGAAAUGAAUUGGCAUGAGUUUUUGAUAUGAACUUCAGCUGUUUAUUCAAUGUAUUAGGUUUUAUCCAUCGUUGAUUGACAACUGCUAGCUUCUUUCGAAAUUUGGCUCUGCCUUACAAACUUUUAUCAUAAAGUUUGACCUCAAAUCAGGUAGGAUUACCCGCUGAACUUAAGCAUAUCAAUAAGCGGAGGAAAAGAAACCAACAGGGAUUGCCUUAGUAGCGGCGAGUGAAGCGGCAAGAGCUCAAAUU